GUGUGGAGGGAACGGGGCCCGGGAAGCUCUGACAUCGGGGCUCGGGAACGUGGGCCCGGACGCUGCCGCCGCUUGAUUCUCUUCUCCGGGAAGGCACAGACGUUAUUUUUUCUGAUCGUCCGGCCCAGGCUGGUGAACAGGGGCCCUCAGCCGCGAAGAAGCAGGCCCUCUUCACGGGAGGUACCCCGCGCCCCGGCCGCGGCGCUGCUCGUUCGCCCCCGGGACUCCCGCUUGAGCUGGACCGGGGUCCCCGGGGAGGCUGCUCGGCCGCCCGCCCGGAGCUUGGCUCCGCCGCGGCCCUCCCGCCCCGCCCCGCCCUCUCCUGGACCCCCAGGCUCGGGAACCUCCCGAGUGGGUCGGCCCGCUGAGCCGGAGACCCGCCCCCGCCCUUGCUGGUGUCUCCGGCCUCACGUCCCUUUCUCUCCCUCCCCAGCCUCUCCCCGGGUCCAGGUCUCUCCGAGUCCCGACCCAUCCAGACGCCGGCCUCGCCUCUCCAGCUCCGCCCCUGACUCCACCUCGGGCGCCUCGAGGCCGCAAGACCCGGAGCUCAGCCCGGACCCCCGCCAUGGGGCUCCGCCUCCCUCUCCCACCCCUUCACACCCCCAAAGGCUUUUGGCCGGCUCUGGUCCACUCGGGACCGUCAAUUCUGGGGAAGGGCGGGAGGAGUCUUUUGGGGCAGGGGCUGGACAGGGGCGGGACUUACUUGGGCCGGGGAGGGACCACUGGAGUGCUAAGAGGAGGGGGCCUCAGACCCCAAGCCUACUGCCUCUCAGUACCAGGCGGGCGAAGCUGAGGUGCAGGUUGGGCCUGGGGAUUUCUGGAGCGGAGGGCUUUAAGGAGGAAGCUAAUGUGACUGUCAGGGCCCUGGGAAACAUCGUCGGGGCUGAAUGGCAGCCCCUGCUCACCCGCUUACCAAUAGUGUAUCCUGGGCAGGACGACUCUCCCGCUGUCUGGGUCUCAGUUUCCUCAUCUGCAAAAUGGGGAGUUGAACAACUGAUUCACAGGACACUUUUCAUUGUUUUGGUGCAUCUGAGGGUGGGUGUGCAGACCCAUAUGAGCUCUGGGGCUCCCCAGACUCAGCUUGUAGAAAUAAGCUCCCCCAAACCCCCAAACCUGUUCUUCAUCUCUGGUAUGGCCCCUCCCCUCAAUGUGAAUGGGUCCCCAAGCCCAAGCCCUGAGGCCACUGGAAUCCAGCUGUAG
rnacentral:lncRNA from 1 species